AUCGUUGCUAAAUCACAAAAAUGUUCGUUCUUAGACUUCUCGAUGGCUUUACCGAGAGGGCGUUAGUUAGCACACCGAGAAUUUUUUGUACUACACUACUUGCGCAACUCUCAUAAGAAUUGUCGAUCUUUGAUGUUAUCUUGCCUUCGGUGGUAUUUGUCUGCUAGAUAAUCGCUAUAAUUAUUCGUAACAAGUUCAAAGUGACUUGAAGAACAGUGAAUAAGGCUCGACAAAAUCAGACGUUGUUAGCUUCAUCCAAACGUUGAACUGGACCUAUUAAAUUGGAGCUGCUGGUUAACUGGUAGCCGCGAAACAAGAAAGUGUAGCUAUAAAGCCAACAUCUACGGAGAAGUAGAAACGGACACGUAAAACAUGGCGGAAGCCGUUGUGGACGGGGCUCCGAUGUCUCGAUUUUUUUGCCACAAAUGCAGUGUCGAAAUUGAGCGUUUGUUGCCAAAUUACACAUGUCCACGAUGCUCAAGUGGUUUCAUCGAAGAGUUGGAAAUUAGCAGUAAUGAGUACAACUCAAAUGUGGAUGUAAGCAAUGAAGAUUUAAGUGAUGUUGACGUUGAUAUUUUAGGAUACCAUUCUUCGCAACGUCACCCAGCUGAGCGAGAUUUAAUAGAUAUGAUAUUGGGCCUUUCAAAUACCAAUCAACAACCAGGUGCAAGUAGCAGAAACUAUGUACUUGGCAGCAGAAGAAGGUCUAAUUGGAAUCGCACUCCUCCAGAGGGGCGUCGUAGUAGCAGCACCCGAAGGAGACAAGAAACCUUACCGGUGCCCGUAGAAAAUUUCAUUCACGAUUUUAUCUUCAACCUCUCAGGAGCCACAGGUUUAGGUCACACUGUGGGGCAAGAUGCGCAACCAUCGGUAUUGUUCUUGGGAAAUCCUGGAGAUUAUGUUUGGGGACGCGACGGAUUAGAUGCUAUUGUUACGCAAUUAUUGAACCAAAUGGAUGGCACUGGACCACCGCCUUUGCCACGCAAGCAGAUUGACGAAAUACCCACAACUACCAUAUCACAAAGUCAAGUCGAUUCUAAACUACAAUGUUCCGUUUGUUGGGAAGACUUUAAACUGUCGGAACCAGUUAGACAGCUACCUUGUCAGCAUGUCUAUCAUGCACCAUGCAUUGUGCCAUGGCUGGAAUUACAUGGAACUUGUCCGAUUUGCAGACAAAGCUUGGGAGAUCAAAGUUCAGCCGAAGCGAACCAAGAUACUGUUGGAUCCAGUUUAGCUGCUUUAUUCAGGGUAGCUAAUGAAUCAAACAAUAGCCGCACGUCAUCAACUUCGUCAUCUACAGGCAGUAGCUCCAGUACUUCCUCGAGUGAGAUUUGAGAGUGAUAUUUAUCUUUUAAUUACCUUGUUUCGCGCGUAAUUUAGCCGAAUAUACUACCAUGUAAUAACUGCAAAAUUUAAACUAUAUUGUCACUUAAUCGACCGAUAUCUCAGUGUGAAGUGUUGAGUUGAAAACGACUGUUCUGUUCCACAUUCAGCGAAUUACGCUAAACCAACAUCAACAUAAGAGAAAUCAUAGAUAGAUAAUGGGUGCAUAUUUGUCUUUAUAUUAUUUCUUUUUUUUUUAAUUGCACUCCGCAAUUCGAUUUAAAUUUCAUAAAAAGUUUUUGUGUUUUUGAAUCUGGUACUUUUUUCGUUAGAGAAGGAACUUUUUACGAUUUAAUUCCAGUAAAAGUGUAAGAGUAACUUACAUAGUCUUCGACAUUGUUUACAUAUUGACAGCUCCGCUUUAAGUAGCGAUAGUCAAGAUAAAUUCAAAAUAAAUUGACGGAAGCGAUUUUCUGAUAUUUAUAUAAAAAAAAAGCAAUUCUUUCACAUCGCCGAGACUCAGUAAAAUACAAACGCAUAAACGUAUUAACGUAACAUUAAAUUGAAAAGAAAAACGUGGUUUAAAGGACAAAUUAAUAAAUUUAAGCAAUGAAUAUCACGAAUUCUUCAAAAUAAACUUAGGUGCAUGUAAGAAUACUUCCGUCUGCAAAGAGGCAUUUAAAACUCAUUUUAUUGCCAUGCGAAUUGACUUCAAUAGAGAUCGCAAUCAUAAAAAAAAAGGAAACUAGCGUAAAACAUAUGCACUUAUAUUGUUUCGAUUUUUAAUUUGUAUAUACGCUAAAAUUGUAAAAAGUAUACAAAAAGAAUAUUUUAGAUCGUAAUUAUUUUCUAUCUUUAAGUUUGGUCCGGUGAAGUGACUGUACUAAGAUAUGUAUAUAUACUUCAGCAGUUUCUGAGUCUCGACGAAUAAACAUCCAGAUACGCGACGAGCAAUUUUGUUUUUCAAUUUCGAGCAGUUUUUUAGAAAUAUAAAGUUUUCUUCAAAACAUAUAAACUGCUUGAUGCACUAUUUCUCGGUUUUCUUUUUCUUGAAAACUAAUAUUUAUGAUAAAAAUGCGCAUAAUGCGAUAGAAAUAAAUAGAGAUACGCAAGGUAUCUACACAUAUUUCUAUAGCAAAAGGAUAUAAGAGGACAAGCACACACUCGUAAACGUAAAUCCUUACAACCACAAUGUGUAGUUUGCAGCAGUCGACGAAGUUAACGUUUAUAUUGUAAACAUGAGAUAGAAUGUAACGUAAAAAGAUGUGAGUAGCAUUUAGAUGUUUACAUAUAGUUACCUAAAUUUUUCGGCCAAUAACUGUCAUGUAUACAAAUAAAAACAAAGAAAUGUUUCCGCGUUAUCUAUGUCACGCGAUGGACAACCCUCUGCCAGAGCGCGUUUACACAACAGAAGAAAUAACGUAUUAUGCUAUUGAACGUCGUUGUUUCAUCCCGAAUAAUAAAUCAUUUAUUUUGAAA